rnacentral:rRNA from 1 species
AUUGAACGCUGGCGGCAGGCCUAACACAUGCAAGUCGAGCGAGCGGCGGACGGGUGAGUAAUGUAUGGGGACUGCCCGAUAGAGGGGGUUAACUACUGGAAACGGUGGCUAAUACAGCAUACUGUUCGAUAACCCAUAUGGGAUUAGCUAGUAGGUAAGGUAAUGGCUUACCUAGGCGACGAUCCCUAGCUGGUCUGAGAGGAUGAUCAGCCACACUGGGACUGAGACACGGCCCAGACUCCUACGGAGGCAGCAGUGGGGAAUAUUGCACAAUGGGCGAAAGCCUGAUGCAGCCAUGCCGCGUGUAUGAAGAAGGCCCUAGGGUUGUAAAGUACUUUCAGUCGGGAGGCGUUACCGACAGAAGAAGCAACGGCUAACUCCGUGCCAGCAGCCGCGGUAAUAC